UACGAAGGGGGCUAGCGUUGUUCGGAAUUACUGGGCGUAAAGCGCGCGCAGGCGGUCUUCCAAGUCAGUGGUGAAAGCCCGGAGCUCAACUCCGGAACUGCCAUUGAAACUGUGAGACUUGAGGAUGAGAGAGGUGAGUGGAAUUCCCAGUGUAGAGGUGAAAUUCGUAGAUAUUGGGAAGAACACCGGUGGCGAAGGCGGCUCACUGGCUCGAUUCUGACGCUCAGGCGCGACAGCGUGGGGAUCGAAACAGG
rnacentral:rRNA from 1 species